rnacentral:tRNA from 3 species
GGGAGUAGCUCAGUGGUAGAGCAUCAGCUUCCCAAGCUGAGGGUCGCGGGUUCGACCCCCGUUUCCC